rnacentral:rRNA from 1 species
GACGAACGCUGGCGGCGUGCUUAACACAUGCAAGUCGAACGGCAAGGCCCUGCUUUUGUGGUCUGCUCGAGUGGCGAACGGGUGAGUAACACGUGAGUAACCUGCCCUUGACUUUGGGAUAACUUCAGGAAACUGGGGCUAAUACCGGAUAGGAGCUCCUGCUGCAUGGUGGGGGUUGGAAAGUUUCGGCGGUUGGGGAUGGACUCGCGGCUUAUCAGCUUGUUGGUGGGGUAGUGGCUUACCAAGGCUUUGACGGGUAGCCGGCCUGAGAGGGUGACCGGCCACAUUGGCACUGAGGUACGGCCCAUACUCCUACGGGAGGCAGCGGUGGGAAAUAUUGCACAAUAGGCGGAAGCCUUAUGCAGCAACGCCGCGUUCGGGAUGACUGCCUUCGGGUUGUAAACCGCUUUCGCCUGUGACGAAGCGUGAGUGACGGUAAUGGGUAAAGAAGCACCGGCUAACUACGUG